rnacentral:miRNA from 1 species
AGUCUCAAUGACUGGAAGGGAUUCCUUCCGGUCAUCAAAGGUCAUCAAUACCAUUCAAUGACCGGAAGGACCCCUUCCGGUCAUUGACACCAUUCAAAUUUUGAUGACCGGAAGGAAUCCCUUCCGGUCAUCGAGACC